rnacentral:lncRNA from 1 species
CUGACUGAGAAGAGCCUGCUUCCUCCUCCCAACCCCUUGUUUCCAGGCUAGAGAUACAGAGGCAGGAGCCAUAUCUCAACAGAGGAAACCAUGAAGCAGGACCUCAGAUGCUAAGGACUUCCCAGAGGAGGGAGAGGAUUUUGUUAUUGUCUGAAGAAAAAGUUACCCUAGAUAACCUUCUGGUGUGUGGGAAGAGGAUCAAUAGCCGGGGGGAAAAUCCAAGUGGGCUAUCUGGCUCUGAACCAUCCUGAUGAACACCAGAGGCAGGCUUGAAAGAGCAAGGGCAGCACCAUAUGGCAGCCUCCCAGGAGCUGCUUUUCUUCUGCUGCAAAAUGUCUGAAACACGUGGAAGAAGAGCCCAAACAGGGCUUUGGAGUUGCACAGGCCUGAAUUUGACAUCUGACCACACUACUUGCAAGCUCUGGACCCGAGAGCAGGUUCGCUCAGCCUCCCUGAGCCUGUUCUGUAAGUGAAAUGGGGCUGAGGUGAAGCUGAAAGAACAGCUCUAAGGCGCUCACGACGGGUUGUUGCCCAGGGUAUCUAAGAGAGUCCUCAUCGCCAUCGGGCAGUUAGUGUUGUACCAGCAUCCACCAGUCCCCUGUGGUGGUCUCUGGGCACAAGGGGCAGCAGCAGGAGUGGUCAUUGAGUCCGCUUGAGGUACUGUGAUGCAUACUCGUCACCCGGCUCACACAUUCCAGUCCCAUGCUAGUAACCUGUGUGCUAGGUACCCAUUCCAUAGAUGAAGAAUCUGAUUUAGGGACCUGACAGGCUAGGCAGCUAGGAAACGUGAAGUCAGAUCUGGCUCCCCAGGUGAAAACACGCUGGCA